AGAAAUAAUGCCAUAAAAAGUCGAAUUAAAAUCCAUAAUACAUUAGAGAUCGGUAUUGAGUGCAAAAUGACGUUUUUCUUAGUUCACAUUUGGAGUAGAAUCAACAAUAUACAGUCAUGGGCAUAAUACACGUCUUAGAUGCAAACCUUCUUAGAGUAAAUCAUUCGAUGAAUAGCAAUUUUCUGGCAGAAGGGGAAAAAAAAAAGGCACAGAAUAUUGGUUAAUGCAUCUCUAAGAGCCAGCUUAGCUCAAGUUUGAGUAGUUGCUCAGAUGCCUCGUAUGUAAGUUUAUGUACAAUGAUUAAGCAUGAAGCAACAGGAAGCUAACAUCUACUGCACCUUACAGAGGUCAGGAUACAGCAAUACUUUUGACCAUAUGGGAGCUACAUUUGAAAGAUUUCCAAAUA